AAUUGGGAGGGAUGAAACCAAGGCAUGGUUGGAUGAAGGUAGAAAUAAGAAUCUUCAUCACCAUUGGUCGAAAUCCAUGCCCAAUGGGCUUUUAGGAGGCUGCCCGCGACCUUGAUAAGGGUUUCGGCGAUUUCAAAGAGGCCAUUAGGAAAUCAGAGGCAAGGGUUGUAAAUUUUAGGAUUUUGGCUACAGUUUUUGUGCAAAUUUUAUAGGUUUUGGAGUCAGAGUGAAUAAGUUAUAGCCGUUUAAAGUUAAGGUGUCAAUUUGAGACCUAUUGUUACUCAUUUGAGUUUAAGAGGAGUCUUACGGAAGCUUUUGGAGAUUGGAAGGUGCGGCUAGAAGAGCAACUUCAAGAACAUCUUUUGCGAAGGAAAUUUUACAUUUGGAGUUUAUGUAAAGGAGUUAUAGGGAGUUAAAGACAGCGCAUUCAAAUCAAAGGCAGUAAGUGAGCGGUUUUGUUCAAAGUAGUGUUAGGAGCCAUAACUUGAGUUUUCGAACGAAAUUUUGGCUCAAACUUUGAGAGAAUGUAAAAAUUUGUGUUAAGAAGCUAUCUAUAUAAGUUUCGUGGUAUUUGAACUUAUGGUUUGUGAGAUAUAAAGAAAAUUGCACGCGGGUAUAUAAAGAUUAGGGUUUGAAGCGACUGUUAGGGUUUUGAAGAUAUCUCAAGAUCCGCAACAAAUUUGCGGUUGAAAUUUGUUGUAAAAAUUAAUAACAACAUAUCAGUACUUCAUGUAAAUUUUGAUCUUGUUUGGACGGUUGGAUCAAGAGUUAUGAGGUGUUGAGAUUAGGGAGAAUUUCCACACAAGGAUAUACAAGGUUUUAGAGUACUUCUACCAUAUUUUGGAUGUUGUUGGUUAUUUAAAACUUAAGUAUUUGGUGUAAUUGUCCCAAAAGAAGAACUUAUAUAUGUAAAAUUAGGAUUUCUUUAUUUUAAGCUUGAUUGAGCAAUUAGUGACAGCCAGAAGCCCAGUGCUUUCUUGAGGCAAAACUUCUCUACCCCGACAACGCUAUUGUCACGUUCGAUGGCAUAGCUUACAAUGGAGUGACAUUAACUAGCCCUUGAAUAUUGGCACUAGAAUUGGCUCCUAUUUCUAACAUCCGUAGAUAACUAUCCAUUGAUCUGUUCCAAGUCAGAUUUUGAUAACUACCUUGAACUAGAAUCAUCGUAGCUCCCACAGUUAAAAACUAAUCAUAAUGGCAUUUCUCCCAAACCUUGAUUCUAUUAAGGGAUGCAGACACCGUCAUGGGUUGAGCUUCUUUCACAAACAUUUUUAAGUCUGGUGGGUGCAAACUAUUGAUUAAUAUGGAUAAGAUAAAUACCUUCGGUAUUUGGUGAUUUGGCCACUUACUGAGUAUAU
rnacentral:lncRNA from 1 species